AUGCUCCCAUCAGUAACACAUAUACUAAAAUUGGAAUGAUGUAGAGAUUAGCACGGCCCCUAUUCAAGGAUGACAUGCAAAUUCGUGGAGCAGUCCAUAUGUUU
ensembl:snRNA U6 U6 spliceosomal RNA